rnacentral:tRNA from 2 species
GGGUCGGUGGCUGAACGGCCAGGCACGCGGCUGCAAACCGCGAUCAAGCGAGUUCGACUCUCGCCCGGCUCUCCA